GAUGAACGCUGGCGGCGUGCCUAAUACAUGCAAGUCGAGCGAACAGACGAGGAGCUUGCUCCUCUGACGUUAGCGGCGGACGGGUGAGUCACACGUGGAUAACCUACUUAUAAGACUGGGAUAACUUCGGGAAACCGGAGCUAAUACCGGAUAAUAUAUUGAACCGCAUGGUUCAAUAGUGAAAGACGGUUUUGCUGUAACUUAUAGAUGGAUCCGCGCCGCAUUAGCUAGUUGGUAAGGUAACGGCUUACCAAGGCGACGAUGCGUAGCCGACCUGAGAGGGUGAUCGGCCACACUGGAACUGAGACACGGUCCAGACUCCUACGGGAGGCAGCAGUAGGGAAUCUUCCGCAAUGGGCGAAAGCCUGACGGAGCCACGCCGCGUGAGUGAUGAAGGUCUUCGGAUCGUAAAGCUCUGUUAUUAGGGAAGAACAAAUGUGUAAGUAACUAUGCACGUCUUGACGGUACCUAAUCAGAAAGCCACGGCUAACUACGUG
rnacentral:rRNA from 1 species